AGAUUAGGGUUUAUGCAGCCACACUCCUUUUACAUAAUGAUAUCGAUUUCUCAUUGAUGCAUCGCAGAUUUCCCCAAAAUAUUACUCCCUCCUCUCAUAAAAAAGUGUCUCGUUUAAUCACAAUCACAAUAAUCACAGUAAUGCUAUUCGCACUUGCGUUUUUGCUACUACUACUCUCUCUCGCUAUGUCCUUUUUCUUAACCAUACCACGCGCCCUUCAUUGUUUCACAGAUUCUCUUUCUCUCUCUUUCAUUCUCAAGAGAAGGUCACGAUCGUUUUGGAGUGUGGAUCUCGAUGGAUCGAUCAUCGGCGAAGUAUGCUUGCCGAUGGCGUGGCAUUUUCCCGGUUAA